rnacentral:rRNA from 1 species
GACGAACGCUGGCGGCGUGCUUAACACAUGCAAGUCGAACGGUGAAGCCCUUCGGGGUGGAUCAGUGGCGAACGGGUGAGUAACACGUGAGCAAUCUGCCCUUGACUCUGGGAUAACUUCGGGAAACCGGAGCUAAUACCGGAUAAGACACGCGGCCGCAUGGUCUGUGUGUGGAAAGAUUUAUUGGUCAGGGAUGAGCUCGCGGCCUAUCAGCUUGUUGGUGGGGUAANGGCCUACCAAGGCGACGACGGGUAGCCGGCCCGAGAGGGCGACCGGCCACACUGGGACUGAGACACGGCCCAGACUCCUACGGGAGGCAGCAGUGGGGAAUAUUGCGCAAUGGGCGAAAGCCUGACGCAGCGACGCCGCGUGAGGGAUGAAGGCCUU